UGGGGAAUUUUGGACAAUGGGCGCAAGCCUGAUCCAGCCAUGCCGCGUGCGGGAAGAAGGCCUUCGGGUUGUAAACCGCUUUUGUCAGGGAAGAAAUCUUCUGAGUUAAUACCUCGGGAGGAUGACGGUACCUGAAGAAUAAGCACCGGCUAACUACGUGCCAGCAGCCGCGGUAAUACGUAGGGUGCAAGCGUUAAUCGGAAUUACUGGGCGUAAAGCGUGCGCAGGCGGUUUUGUAAGACAGAGGUGAAAUCCCCGGGCUCAACCUGGGAACUGCCUUUGUGACUGCAAGGCUUGAGCGCGGCAGAGGGGGAUGGAAUUCCGCGUGUAGCAGUGAAAUGCGUAGAUAUGCGGAGGAAACACCGAUGGCGAAGGCAAUCCCCUGGGCCUGCACUGACGCUCAUGCACGAAAGCGUGGGGAGCAAAACAGGAUUAGAUAGCCCUGGUAGUCCACGCCCUAAAACGAUGUCAACUGGUUGUUGGGAAGGUUCCUUCUCAGUAACGUAGCUAACGCGUGAAGUUGACCGCCUGGGGAGUACGGCCGCAAGGUU
rnacentral:rRNA from 1 species